rnacentral:rRNA from 1 species
AUUGAACGCUGGCGGGAUGCCUUACACAUGCAAGUCGAGCGGAGUGGCGGACGGGUGAGUAAUGUCUAGGAACCUGCCCUGUAGCGGGGGAUAACUUCCCGAAACGGUCGCUAAUACCGCAUACUAUUAGAUGGGCCGAGUUCGGAUUAGCUAGUUGGUGGGGUAAAGGCUUACCAAGGCGACGAUCCGUAGCUGGUUUGAGAGGACGACCAGCCACACUGGAACUGAGACACGGUCCAGACUCCUACGGGAGGCAGCAGUGGGGAAUAUUGGACAAUGGGCGAAAGCCUGAUCCAGCCAUGCCGCGUGUGUGAUGAAGGUCUUCGGAUUGUAAAGCACUUUUGUUAGGGAAGCGGUACCUGCAGAAUAAGCACCGGCUAACUACGUGCCAGCAGCCGCGGUAAUUC